GAAAUGCGAUAAGUAGUGUGAAUUGCAGAAUUCAGUGAAUCAUCGAAUCUUUGGACGCACAUUGCGCCCCUCGGUAUUCCGUGGGGCAUGCCUGUUCGAGCGUCAUCUACACCCUCAAGCUCUGCUUGGUGUUGGGCGUCUGUCCCGCCUCCUUCGCGCGCGGACUCGCCCCAAAUCCAUUGGCGGCGGCCCUUGCCUCCCUCUCGCGCAGCACAUUGCGCUUCUCGAGGCGCGGCGGACCGCGUCCAGCAAGCAACCGUCACACCGUCUUUGACCUCGGAUCAGGUAGGGAUACCCGCUGAACUUAAGC
rnacentral:misc_RNA from 1 species